CACUGACCGCCGCACUGCGCCGGCGCGCUGACCCGCCCUCCCCGCGCAGGCGCGGCCGGAGGGCGCAGGCGCCCCCUCUCGGCCGGAAGGAGCUGUGUCGGAGACUGGGCCGCGGAUAGGAAGGGUAGAGACCCUUUAGUGCAUCUUUAUCUCCACGGAACCCAGCGCAAUGCCUUACAUGUGGAUGAGGAAAUCGAAGCAUGGAAGCGAUUAGGAAACUUAACUAAUCGCACAAUUGAUCACAUAGUAAUAAGUCUGCUAAGUGCCAUAAGGAGAAAUACAAGAUGGUGCAAGAGUGUGUAUGUGACGGGAAUCUGUGGGGUCAGAGCCGGCGUCUCCGAGGAAGUGACCUUCAGGCAGAGACCUGAAUGUGAAGCAGCAGUGAGCCAGAAGAGCUGGAGAAGAGCGUGUCCAAAGACCCAGGAGGGAAGGAGUAUGGUGGCCACGUGGCUGGAACACAUGAUGAGACAUCCCUGGGAGAAGCUCUGAUGAAACACCAUGGAGGACUUUCCACUGGGAAAGAAGAGCUGACAGGCCUCUCUCUCCAGGGCAAGAAGCUUUGAAAGCUGCCAAAGGAUUUCAAAAUUGCAUGAAGUGAAGAUCCAGGUGGAACCAACUAGCUGCACAGCUGCAUAGUCAUGAAGAAAAGACCAGAGCAGGAGACACAGCAGCCAACUGAACAGAUUAACUGCUUGUUAUCGGUAAACCGAGGGGACCAUCAUAGAGGCCAUCUGUUCACGGGACAGAGGGCCAGGACUCAGCAAUCCUUUGCAAGAAUGAGCUGAUUCUUAAAGGAAGUCACUCUUCUUUCUAAGGGUCUUGGUGGCAGACGAGGGUGGCAGCCAGAUGCCAGCCAGGGAGAGGCCCUGGAACCCUGUGAGGUGGAGAAGGCCUGUGAGUGGCCCAAACCAGAGUUCCACCGCUGGGCUCUGCCUGGAGCAGGCUGUGAGGCUUUGUCGAAGAAAAUCUGAAAACCUAAAGCUAAAGCAAGAGGCUGGAAGAAAGAACAGGGUCCAAAGCAGAAUGCUCAACUUCAAGCCAUUUGCCUAAAUUCACUUUUUCAGAUGGCUUCUGCUAGGAGGUAGAAAAUGAAAGGCUUCUUUAUGCGGUACUAAAAUUGGUAACAGAGUUCCUCCCGCCCUCCCGCAUCCCCCCACCCACCGCCAGGCACCUGACGGUGCCUGAGGUUCUGGCAACCACUGCAUACAACAAUCUCGAAAGGUUCCCCUGGGGCCAGUCUGGAGCACCAUCACUGGGAACACAGCUCACAUCAGCACCCCUUGCUUUGCCAAAGCAGAAAUGGCCUGGGUCCAAGAGUGAAAUCUGAUGGAAGAAAUUAAAGCAGGAUGCCAUUCUCCCUAAUUUUCAGGAAGGCCUCAGAUGAUCCUGCUUUUUAGCAGGAGAAAUCAGGACAAAUCCCCUACUUCUUUAUUUUUACACUUACUGAUAAACAAGCCAUCUUGUUUUUUCCUCUCACUCCAAGCAGUACCAACUUCUGUAAUGGUUAAUAGACAGCAAUCAAAACACUGUAUCCCCUGCGAUUUCAAUUGGAGACCAAAGGAAAUUAUCUUGGCUUGAAAAGAAGAUAUAUUCCAUCUCUAUAUCAUAUACAUAUAUACAAGAGACAAAUAAUAAUCACUGGCCCCAUAACAAUCUCCAAAGAUACUGAGAGAUAAUAUCCACAGAUACUAUAGAGUCUCAGUAAUAUAUUGACUAAUCAAUGAAUCUCUCUGCAAUGUCUUCCUCUGAUGUUCCUAAUCCUUCCCAUUCUCAUGCCACAGCUGCCCUAUCAGUACAUCUUUCUGUUGCAUCUUCCCGCUAAGUAAUUUUCUCAUGUGUUUUCUUAAUGGGCUCUGAGAAUGUUCUAUAACGUUUUCAUUUUUUACCUUGGCCACCAGGAAGCUCAGGGUCAAGUUUCCAGUCCAUUUGCUUGCAUAGGGUUCACAUAUUCAUUUAUUUUUUCUGGAUUUGUCAUUCUAAAUUGUAUUUUUCCUGCCAUAAUCUUUGUAUUAUAUUUGGCUUUUACUAUUUUGAUGGAAUAUUUCCUGAAAACUGAAGUCCUUAUAGGUGGAGGCACUGCUAAUUACUUAAUUAAAAUAAGAUCAUUCAUGGUUUGAUUGACUUCCUUUCCUUUCUUAUUUCUCACCAUGUUCUCCUUCCCUGCUCCUCACACUAUACUGGCCUUCUUUCAGUCCUUUGUACUCACUUCAGGGCCUUUGCAUGUGCUGAUUCCUACCCCUUCAUGGCUUAUUACUGCUGGACAUCCUUCAGACCCUAGCUGGGUUAUCACUGCCCUGAAAAGAGUUACCUGAACUUCCUGCUUAAGUCAAAUCCCCUAAUAGGUGCUCUCAUUGCACCGUGUACCUUCCCUUUGUAGCACUUGUCACAGUUGUAAUUUUAUCUCUGUGAUGAUUUCAGAUAUGUGUAUAUCCCAUUAGACUAUAAACAAUGCCUGGCAACAUAGCAGGUCUGCAAUAAAGUUUGUUGAAUGAAUGAAUGAAUGGGUGAAUGAAUUAGUGAAUGAAUGAGUUCAUACAUACAGCUACACUGGUUUCUCUGGUCUAACUUUUUCUAUUCUCCAAAACACCUAUCUAAGCAUUCGCUACCCUCCUGAAAAAACUCCAGUGUGUUCAGAAUCAAGUUCAAUCUUUCUCCCUAAUACUGUCUAUUCUAUAAGAGCCUCUAAGACCGGCCUCAAUCCAUCUUCCCAUUCCCUUUCCUUCCCCUUCCAUGAAAGCCACCCUGGACAACCUGAAAAUCCCCCAUACAAACCUUGCACAUUCCCAUCUCCUGGCCUAGAAUGUCCCUCCCCAGAGACCUUCCCAGCAUCUACUCUAUACCAAGAGGUGGCUAGGCUUGAGGUGCUACCCUAGGCCCUCAGAUACCACCUACCCCUAAAAGCCUUCUCUGAUUUCUGCAGUUUCCUUCUUAUAGUGCAAACGCAAAGCCUUUUGUUUAUAUUCACUUUUGUCACUUAUAUAAGAGCAUUAUAUUUACGACAAAGUCCCUCUCCCACUAAACUAUAAACUCCUUGAAGGCAAGCAUUGGACCAAUGCAUUCCAAAUCUCUAGCUGCAAGCACAGUGUCUGGCAUACUGUCAGGUUCAAAAUGAUUAUUGUAUUAAUACAUAGUAAUAAUAAUAACAUGGAGAUUUAGGAACAUCAAAUUUAGGAAACUAGUCCAACAGUUAAUGGAAUGGAUGAUUUCAUGAUGUACUAUGAUGUGGUGGUUUUAAAACAUGUCCACACAUUCUUGAACGCUCCUCCUUCCAAAGGAAGAAAGAGCUCAAUCCUCCCCCUGAGUUGGGGCUGGACUCAGCGAUUUGCUUCUAAAGAACAGAAAGAAUAUGGCAAGAGUGAUAGUGUGUGACUUUUUGAGAUUAGGUCAUAAAAGGGUCCCUGGAUGCUUCUUUGCGCUGUCUCUCACUCUCUCUCUGACUACCUGCUCUGGAGGAAGCUGGCUGCCAUGUGGUAAGGGCGCUCUGGCAAUCCUAUAAAGAGACCCAUGUGGGAGGAACUUGCUCCUGCCAAUAGCCAUGUGAGUGAACCAUCUUGGAAGCUGAUCCUCAAGUUCCAAACAAGCUUUUGGGGACUGCAACACGGGUUGAUAUCUUGCCUGUAACCUCAUGAUAGACUCUGAGCCAGAAUCACCCAGCUAAGCCACUCUUAAAUUCCUGACCCACAGAAACGGAGAUCAUGAAUGUUUGCUAUUUUUAAGCCACCAAGUUUUAGGGUCAUUGGUUAUAAGGUAAUAGAUAAUAGAUAACAAUAGACAAUAUAUGUGCUUAUCCAUUCAGAAAAAGAUUGUAGUUGUUAAUUCCUGUUGGAACAAAGGAGAUUUGUCUCAUUAAUAGCUGAUUUUACACGGUUAAUAGUCCCAUUGUUAAAAUAUUGAUAUGCCGUUCUCCUCCCCCACCAUACCUACACCUUCAGUUCUUAUCUAAAUUUUACCACUUCUCUAAAGCCCUGCUUGACCUUCUCACAUCUUUGGAGAAGCUCUCCUUAACCACACCAGCUUGUACUGAAAUUGCUUUUCUCGGUUCGUUUGCACUUUGGCUCUUGGUAACCAUAAUCACUUCAACUUACUGAGUACUUACUGUGUGCUGGUGUACUGGCUGAAUAGUGUCCCUCCAAAAGUCAUGUCCACCCAGAGCCUCAGAAGGUGUAACCUUAUUUGGAAAUAGGGUGUUUGCAGAUGUCAUUGGUUAAGAUGAGGUCAUACUGGAGUAGGACGGACCCUCGAUUCAAUAACUGAUGUCCUUAUAAGAAGGCCAUGUGAAGACACAGAAACACACCAGGAGAAGACCAUGUGACAAGAGAGCAAGGAUUGAAGUGAUGCUACCAAUCAAGGAGUGCCAAGGAUUUCUGGCAACCACCAGAAGCGAGGAAGAGAAGGGAAGACUCCUCCCUAGAGCCACCACAGAGGCACCGCGACCCUUUGAAUUUGAACCUCUUGCCUCCACAACUGUGGGAGAAUAAAUUUCUGUUGUUCUAAGACAUCCAACUUGUGGCACUCUGUUACUGCAGCCCUAACAAACAAAUACAACUUGUCACUGUGCAUAUCUUAUUUCUCAUUUCUAAUUUCACAAAAAUCCUUCAAAUUACAUAUGAUUAGUUCCUUUGACAAUUGAGUCUGACAGCCAGUGAAGCUUCACCAGGGAUAUGAACCCGGCUCCAGGGGCAGUGCUCUGCCCACUGCUCCUUCCGAUCUGGCCUCAUCCUAUCAUGCACUGAUCUCCGUUUGUAACUGCUUGUUCCUUGAAAGACUGUAGGUGGCAUCGAUGUCAGUUUCAUGUCCUAUCAUUCUUCCAGGGUUCCUUCAGUGCAUGAUGUUCAAUAAAUACUUGGUAUGUGAAUUAUUUUAAAUUUCAGAGGAUUAAAUAUAUAAGAGAAAAAAAUAAGUAUUUGGUGGACAAAACUUGACGAUGGCCCAUGAUCUCUAGAGGAAAUCUGUCAUUAAUGUUUUCAAACUGUGAGUACUCUAACGAUAACUGUUCUCUGGGCUUAGGUACCAAUACGGACAGUAUCUGUCAAUCUUCCUAAGAAGGAAAAAAACAGAAAGGGUCUAGGAUGGAGGAAACGAGUGUCAUAAACAAUAGGGACAUCAGAGGACCAAUUAUGUUGCUUCAUAAUUACAAAGUUUAGAAAAGAAUACUUUUUACCCCAAUAGUAGGGGGUUCACUCUAGAAAUAGUGAGCCUCUCAUUAUCUGGGGUGAAAAGUACUUUUUUAAACAAUUGUAAUUGUUAAGCAAUAUAACCCACCUGAGGAUAAGCACCAUUCCACUAUCUUAGGGAGCUAGUCGGGAUGCCUUAUGUCUGGAUGGCUACUGAGAUCCACCUUAACAGCAGUUUUUUGUGAGGUCACAGUUUUAUAUCUAAACGACACUCCCCAGAGUGAACCAACCUGUUGAUCUCCUUGGGCCUCAGUUUCUGCACAUAUAAAAUAAAGAUUUUAAUGGAAAUGGGGUGAUAUCAAUAACUUCAAAAACAAAGCCUGAGAUUUUUAAGUUAUCUAAAAAUUAAGAGGAUGUCUCCUCUUUCAGAGAAGCUCCUGAGAAUCUGUUGCAUAUUCCCAGCGGUACCACCUUUUUCUGCUCACACUCAUUCAUGCCCACUCCGUUUGGUCACUCGUCAUCUGACUAGAAUGAGAGUUACAUUGAACACAACCAAGUACAUUGGCCACAAUCACACAUUCUUCUGAAACCUUACCUGAAUCUGUCCCCACCUAAGAAAAACUAGCUGGUGAAUAUAAAAAUCAGUAGUCUUUUAGAUAACCUAGGGCUAAAAACACAUGUGAUUGUUUAACAAUAUGUCUUCCCCUCCACCCCCCAUAGUUCUUUGUUUUCUUACGACUUGCUGCUAAGCUGUUAUUUACUUUAUAUUUGGUCAUAAUCCCAUCUUUUCUUUUCUUUUUUUAAGUUUUUAAACAAUUUUUUUAC